ACAGCACAGAGCCCAACAUGGGGCUUGCACUCACCAAAGGUCCAGUCCAGUCUGGCCAGAUUUCUCAGAAGAGCACUGACCAACUCCUGACCAACUCCUCCGCCUCCGGGGUUCAGGCUCUGUCCCUGUCCCUCUGCAGCUGGUUUCCGCCGCCCGUGUCCCUCCCAAAGGUUCCCGGCUGCGAGGGCUUCACUGCACUCGGUUCUGGGGCUUUUGUUCCUAUUCAACGAAAGGCUCUUGCUUCUGGAAACUCCGUUCCCUCUCGCUUCUGCAAAGCUGCUCUUCCCAGGGUCCCCUCCCCCUCAGCCCUCCUGCCCCUCCCUCACAUCUCCUUUCUCCCAAAUAAAUGCCCUAGGUCAGCUGAUAGACAGCCAAGACCUGUGGCUUAGUGAUCGAA